AUUGAACGCUGGCGGCAGGCCUAACACAUGCAAGUCGAGCGGAUGACGGGAGCUUGCUCCUUGAUUCAGCGGCGGACGGGUGAGUAAUGCCUAGGAAUCUGCCUGGUAGUGGGGGAUAACGUUUCGAAAGGAACGCUAAUACCGCAUACGUCCUACGGGAGAAAGCAGGGGACCUUCGGGCCUUGCGCUAUCAGAUGAGCCUAGGUCGGAUUAGCUAGUUGGUGGGGUAAUGGCUCACCAAGGCGACGAGCCGUAACUGGUCUGAGAGGAUGAUCAGUCACACUGGAACUGAGACACGGUCCAGACUCCUACGGGAGGCAGCAGUGGGGAAUAUUGGACAAUGGGCGAAAGCCUGAUCCAGCCAUGCCGCGUGUGUGAAGAAGGUCUUCGGAUUGUAAAGCACUUUAAGUUGGGAGGAAGGGCAGUAAGUUAAUACCUUGCUGUUUUGACGUUACCGACAGAAUAAGCACCGGCUAACUCUGUGCCAGCCGCCGCGGUAAAAC
rnacentral:rRNA from 1 species